CUAGGACUUGGUAACAGGUUGAGAGCGGCCACUUGGCCGGGGGCGCCGGCUUCGGAGGCGGGAGGGAGGUGGAGGAAGGGAAGGCAGCUGCAGGGCCGACCUGCGGGGUGGGCGUGAGGCCGGGGGAUUGGGGCCGCAGGGGUUCGGCCUGGAGGAGCGGCGUGGGGGCGCCGGGGCCCUGAUUCCAUCCUGGGCGGGUCGGCCCCGCAGCCGCUGCGCUCGGAACCCCCUAGGCGCCCCGCAGUACCCGGCGUCCUUCCUGCCUCCUCCUCGCCCCUGUCCUCCGUCCGAGCCCCAGUCCCGCCGACCCUGCCGGCGCCUCCGCCCUCCCGCCCUCCCGCCCUCGGUUUCCCACGACCUCGGCGCGACGCGCGCGGGAUCCAGUGGAGACUGCUUUCCCAUAGGCCGCCAUCCAGGGCGGGGAAGGGAGCGGACCCUCCCGGCUCCAGGUGCCUGGGCCCCCGGCGGCCUGCGGAGGCCUCGCCCCACGCCACCCGCCCACUGGCCUCGUCUUCGCGCGGGGAGAAAAGCAGCCUGAUUCGGAGGAACGGGUUGCUUGGGGCGGCUCCCAGCUCGAGUUGUGGGCCCCGCCGCGGGUGCCCUUCGGAAACGCGCUGACACCAGGCGAAGCCGCCUCUGCCCGGACGCAGCCCGACACUUGGCCCGCGGGGUUCCCCGGGACGCCUGAGAGUAAUGGGCGCGAGGGGGAAAGCCGAACGGCCUCCCUGUGCCCGGCGCAGGCGGUGCCCCCUAGCUGGGUUCGCCGCGGCGGCGCUGCGAGCCCCCGACACUGAGGACUUUUGGUCCAACAGUCCGACGGGGCCCGGUGCGCCGUUCCCUCCGCCCUCUCCCCGCUCCCCGGCCCGCGCGUCUUGGAGGGUGGGUGAAUUGUCGGAAGCACUCUACGCCUGGCCAACCCAAACCAGGAACCUCCGCACCAAACAGCCCACGUUGCUGCUGCUCUGGGGUUUUAACGGCCAAGGGAGACUGGAGAAGGGGUGUUCUGCCUUCCCAUUCUCUUAGGCCCGUCCACUCCCCAUCCCCACAGUUUGGAAGUGGCCUUUUCUGAGGACUCCAGCGCAAAGCAUGUUUCUCCUUUUGAGCUGCGGAAGCCUUGCUUGUUCCCGCCAUUGGGAGGGCAUUCCAUCAUCUGCAGCUGCCUUCCUCGGUGGGCCUUGUCCCUUAGCGUCCACCUAGGGGACAUUCUAAGCUUCUUGAGACCUGCUUGUCCACCCCAACAUGUCUCAGCAUAUGGCUGUGCCCUAAGGGGUCUUUGAGGGCAUUUUAGGAGGUGAGCGGCGCCCCUACCUGGGCUCCGCGGGGCCGAUUCGGUUUGCCCUUUGCUGGCAUGUCAGUGAAUUAACUGCUGUCCUUGGGAUGACCUGCCCUAUGAUUUGGCCUCUGGAGCAUCCCGGGUGUGUAUUUCAGAACUCCUCCCAUCUUAUCCACCUGCUGAAGGCCUGGCCCCCUGAUAUGGUUUGGCUCUGUUUCCCCACCCAAAUCUCACCUUGAAUUUUAAUAAUCCCCACGUGUCAUGGGCGGGACCAGGUGGAGGUAAUUGAAUCAUGGAGGUGGUUUCCUGAACGCUGCUCUCGUGACAGUGAGUUCACAAGAUUUUUUUUUUUAACGGAGUAUCACUCUGUCACUCAGGCUGGAGUGCAGUGGCGCGAUCUUGGUUCACUGCAACCUCUGCCUCCCGGGUUCAAGAGAUUCUCCUGCCUCAGCCUCCCGAGUAGCUGGGAUUACAGGUGCGCGCCAUCACGCCCGGCUAAUGUGUAUUUUUAGUAGAGAAAGGGUUUCACCAUGUUGGUUAGGCUGGUCUGGAACUCCUGACCUUGUGAUCUGCCUGCCUCGGCCUCCCAAAGUGCUGGGAUUACACGCGUGAGCCACUGUGCCCAGCCGAUCUGAUGCUUUUAUAAAGGGCUUUCCCCGUCCCCCUUCCUCUCUCUCACCACCCUGUGAGAAAGGUGCCUUUCUUCCCCCUUCACGUGAACUGCCUCCAUGAUUGUAAGCUUCCUGAGGCCUCCCCAGCUAUAAGGAACUGUGAGCCAAUUAAACUGCUUUAUAAAUUAACCCAGGUAUUUCUCGGGUAUUUCUUCAUAGCAGCGUGAGAAUGGACUGAUACACCCCCAAUGUGGAGUAGGGGAAGCUGAGGGAGUUAGGAGGUCCCAGCAAGGUGAAGGUGUGAUGGGGUCUUGGGACAGUGAGAGUGCUGCCUCAGGCAACAGUGGGCAGGUCAUUGAGGCUCCAUUGAGCUUGGUGAGCAGGAAGCUGAGAGAGGGAGCUGUCGAUUCAGGAGUCAGGGGUGACAUGGAAGGAACCUAGGGCUUUGCCAGGCACAGGUGAAGGAAGGCCACUUAGGUACUGGCAGUGGGAAGAGAGGGCAGGGAGUGGUGGACGGAGAGGAAGAGAAAGCUGAAC
rnacentral:lncRNA from 1 species